rnacentral:rRNA from 1 species
GAUGAACGCUAGCGGCAGGCCUAAUACAUGCAAGUCGAGCGGCAGGUCGAGGAGUAAUCUGAGACCUAGAGCGGCGCACGGGUGCGUAACGCGUAUGCAACCUACCUUAUACUGGGGGAUAGCCCGGAGAAAUCUGGAUUAAUACCCCCAUGGCACAUAUUGAUGGCAUCUGAGAUAUGUUAAAGAUUUAUUGGUAUAAGAUGGGCAUGCGUCUGAUUAGCUAGUUGGCGGUGUAACGGACCACCAAGGCGACGAUCAGUAGGGGUUCUGAGAGGAAGGUCCCCCACACUGGCACUGAGAUACGGGCCAGACUCCUACGGGAGGCAGCAGUAGGGGAAUAUUGGGCAAUGGUCGGAAGACUGACCCAGCCAUGCCGCGUGCAGGAAGAAGGCCCUCUGGGUUGUAAACUGCUUUUAUCUGGGAAGAAAAAGGCCAUGCGUGGCAAAUUGCCGGUACAGAUGAAUAAGCACCGGCUAA